rnacentral:rRNA from 1 species
UGAGUACGAGAUGCUACGGCAUCGAAGCAGUCUAUGUCAUACUUCCAAGAAAAGCUUGCAAUGUCAUAAACAAAUAAUGCCUAUACCAUAACCGACACAGGUGGGUAGGUAGAGUAUACUAAGGGGCGCGAGAUAACUCUCUCUAAGGAACUCGGCAAAAUUACUCCGUAACUUCGGGAGAAGGAGUGCCUUAUUUUUAUAAGGUUGCAAUAACAAGAUCCUAGCAACUGUUUACCAAAAACGCAGGUCUCCGCUAAGUUGUAAGACGAUGUAUGGGGGCUGACGCCUGCCCAGUGCCAGAAGGUUAAGGAAGUUGGUUAGCAUUAGCGAAGCUGAUAACUGAAGCCCUGGUGAACGGCGGCCGUAACAAUAACGGUCCUAAGGUAGCGAAAUUCCUUGUCGGGUAAGUUCCGACCCGCACGAAAGGCGUAAUGAUUUGGAUACUGUCUCGGAGAGGGGCUCGGUGAAAUAGACUUGUCUGUGAAGAUGCGGACUACCUGCACCUGGACAGAAAGACCCUAUGAAGCUUUACUGUAACUUGAGAUUGAAAUUGGACUUUAUCUGCGCAGUAUAGGUGGGAGACGUUGAAAAUAUUCUUGCGGGAAUAUUGGAGUCAUCAGUGAGAUACCACUCUUAUAAUGUUAGAUUUCUAACUUUGUAUCAUUAUCUGGUCAAAGAACAGUUUCAGGCGGGCAGUUUGACUGGGGCGGUCGCCUCCCAAACGGUAACGGAGGCGCACAAAGGUUUCCUCUGAACGUGUAGAAAUCGUAUCUAGAGUGUAAAGGCAUAAGGAAGCUUGACUGUGAGACCUACAAGUCGAGCAGGGACGAAAGUCGGUCUUAGUGAUCUGACGGUGCUGAGUGGAAAGGCCGUCACUCAACGGAUAAAAGUUACUCUAAGGAUAACAGGCUGAUCUCCCCCAAGAGUUCACAUCGACGGGGAGGUUUGGCACCUCGAUGUCGGCUCAUCGCAUCCUGGGGCGGUAGUACGUCCCAAGGGUUGGGCUGUUCGCCCAUGAAAGCGGUACGCGAGCUGGGUUCAGAACGUCGUGAGACAGUUCGGUCCAUAUCCGGUGUAGGCGUUAGAAUAUUGAGAGGAGCCUUCUUUAGUACGAGAGGACCGAGAAGGACAUACCUCUGGUGUACCAGUUAUCGUGCCAACGGUAAACGCUGGGUAGCCAUGUAUGGAGAGGAUAACCGCUGAAAGCAUCUAAGUGGGAAGCCCACCUCAAGAUAAG